AUGCAUUCAUCUGAUAGACCUGAAGUUCUCCACUGUGACUUCUGGGUUUGCAAUUGGAUGCUAAAUGAAAUAUUCCCUUGACUUUCCCCGACUGCCUGACCGAGUGGCUGUACGGAUAGAGAAGAGGAAUACAUGA
ensembl:snoRNA